CUGCUGGUGAUUCAGUGGUUGAAUGCCCCCCAGAAAAGGAGCAACUGAUUACUGCCACAGGCUUGCACCAGUUGCACAUUCUGAUGUUCUUUUUGGCUGUGUUUCAUGUGGUAAAUAGUGGUCUUAUAAUGGUCCUUGGAAGAGCAAAGAUACACAGAUGGAAGGACUGGGAAAAGGAUACGACAUCGGCUGAGUAUGCCUUCACGACUGGUAUAUAUAUGUUCA